rnacentral:snRNA from 1 species
AGGCCAACACAGCACGCAGGCCU